UAACCUGCCUUAUACAGGGGGAUAACAGUUGGAAACGACUGCUAAUACCGCAUAAGCGCACAGUGCCGCAUGGCAUAGUGCGAAAAACUCCGGUAGUAUAAGAUGGACCCGCGUCUGAUUAGCUAGUUGGUGAGGUAACGGCUCACCAAGGCGACGAUCAGUAGCCGGCUUGAGAGAGUGAUCGGCCACAUUGGGACUGAGACACGGCCCAAACUCCUACGGGAGGCAGCAGUGGGGAAUAUUGCACAAUGGGGGAAACCCUGAUGCAGCAACGCCGCGUGAGUGAAGAAGUAUUUCGGUAUGUAAAGCUCUAUCAGCAGGGAAGAUAAUGACGGUACCUGACUAAGAAGCCCCGGCUAACUACGUGCCAGCAGCCGCGGUAAUACGUAGGGGGCAAGCGUUAUCCGGAUUUACUGGGUGUAAAGGGAGCGUAGGCGGCUUGGCAAGUCUGAUGUGAAAGCCCAGGGCUCAACCCUGGGACUGCAUUGGAAACUGUCAGGCUAGAGUGCAGGAGAGGUAAGUGGAAUUCCUAGUGUAGCGGUGAAAUGCGUAGAUAUUAGGAGGAACCUCAGUGGCGAAGGCGGCUUACUGGACUGUAACUGACGCUGAGGCUCGAAAGCGUGGGGAGCCAACAGGAUUAGAUACCCUGGUAGUCCACGCUGUAAACGAUGAAUACUAGGUGUCGGGUCCCUCAAGGAUUCCGUGGCGCAGCUAACGCAAUAAGUAUUCCACCUGGGGAGUACGCUCCCAAGA
rnacentral:rRNA from 1 species